rnacentral:misc_RNA from 1 species
CUAACGUCAACUUAACCUAAAUUUGAGAAGUAAAGUUCAGAUUUGCUUAUCCUAGUUGAAGGUGAUAAGUCAAGUACAAGUGAUUAGUAAAUUUGCCGUUUGUUAAGUUAUAAUAUUCAGGAAACUUCUAAAUAAAACAUAUUCGUUUUAUGUCUUUAGUAUACUGUCUAAUCAAAAUACAGGUUUUCUUCAAAAGAACUCUACAUGCUCUACAGUACGUGUGUGACAGUUAAACUGUAGAGUUUGUUCAGUACACUGGGAAAUGGCCCCAACAGUGCCUUCAGAAGGAUUUUGGGGCCCACCAACUGCUACAAUUGACUGGUGUGAGAAAAAUUAUCAAGUCAGCUUUUAUGUUGCUGAAUGGUGGAACACCAUUAGCAAUCUCAUGAUCAUCUUGCCUCCUCUCUGGGGAAUAUUUGAGGUUUACAAUCAGGGAUUCGAUAAAAGAUUUAUAUUCUGCAACUUUUUAGUCGCUAUUGUUGGUGUUGGAUCGUGGUUCUUCCACAUGACUCUACUCUAUGAAAUGCAACUGUUUGAUGAACUUCCGAUGGUGUACGGCUCUCUCUUCUUGUUGUACUGUCUAAUUGAGGCACCCAAGGCUGCAAAUAAGGAAUUCUUUUCCAACAAACCUCUGUUUGCCUUUCUGUUGACGUUUGCAGUCAUGUUCACCCUCAUUUACCUCGUUUGGCCACAGCCUUGGUUCCAACAUUCAUCUUAUGGUGUGAUUGUCCUUGGAUCUUUUGGGAUGAAAGCAAAAAUCAUCAGAGAGAAGAAGUGCAGAAUUUGCAAGAGAAUUUUUUUAACAUCAAUAUCAUUAUAUUUGUUUGCAUUUUUCUUGUGGAAUGUGGACAAGCUUUUCUGUUCAUCAUUGGAGAACGUGCGGCAGAAAGCACCGACAGGUGUCGGUCCAGUCACACAGCUCCAUGCUUGGUGGCAUGCUCUCGCUGGAUACUCCUCUUACCUCUUGGUGCUAUUUUGCAUUCACACUUGGUAUGACUUCCACAAACAGAAAGAAGAGAAGAGGAAGUUAGAAUUGACUCACCUUGGGUUUAGUCUGCGAUGGUCAUAGUUAGUCCCCAUUUACAGAGUCAGAUUGCACUAGCCAAAUAACGCCUUCUGUUGCACAAUGGUUAUUACACUAAACUGAACACCUGAACUGAGUGCUGACAUUGUUAUUCUCAAGGCACUGGCUACUGCGGGAAUGGAAUUCUACAUUUACUGGAAGAAACCUGAGAUAAGUGAUGAAUCAAACUCUACAAAAUAUGAUUAUGGAAACAAUCUGGAAUCUGGUACUCAGUCUUUUGGUGCAUUCAACAAUUAUCAUCAGUCUGUGAUAAAAUAUCAAAAUUUGAGAGCAAUGUAAGUACAAGAGAGGUGCUGAAAUAUUGUAACAGUCACUCUGAUAAUGAACUAGUCUAGUCUUUGACAUCUCAGUUUGCAUGUACUUGUCGGACGUUGAAAAAUAACUGAGGUGGAAAGGAAUACACUUGGACGCUGUAAUACCGAGUGUAAUAUAAUACUGUACCACAAGUUUGAUAGUAUUUUGUACUAUUUUAAGUGUACACAUCUUUCUGUUUACUUUCUUUACUAGUUUUUAUUUAUAUACUAGUAAAUCAUAAACUAAAUGCUGAAUAUUCAUAGUUUGUACGUAGGAGUGAUUUUAAGGUUGUCAAUGUAAAAGUAUAUUAACAAUUCACUUUGAUGUAAUUGCUUUUGAAUUAUUCUUUGACACAAUUGCACAGUUUUAAGCUUUGUUGUUGAACAUAAUUUAUUAAUCUAGAAAAACUGAGUGAUAUUUAUAAUCAAUUUUAGCUUUAAUACACCGGUACAUAAAAAAAAAAAAAAAAAAAAAAAAAACAUGAGAUAAGCUUAUUUUAGAAAGAAA